GCAUAUCAAAUGAAACCUGGAACAGUCGCUGUAUUUAUUUUUAAUAUAUGAAAAAAGCAAUAUUCAGGAGUUAGUAAGAGUAGAAUUGAUUAUUAGAAAAUGUCGAGAAAGAGUAAUAAAAGAAAUUAUAACGUCGAUGAACAGGAUGUCCAAAAGUUUGUUCUUAAGCCAGAAUCAGAACUGAGAUUUGAAGUGGAUUCCAAAAAUAGAAUAACGAUCGAGUUAACUUCUGGUACAGCAGAAGUUUUUGGAACAGAGCUGGUGAGACAUAGGAAAUACACAUUUGGACCUACAGUUAUGAAAGCCAUAUUUACCUGGCAAGGAUGUACUAUUACACUUACUGGCAGACCAGAAGUUGUGUAUGUUGCCAAGGAAACUCCUAUGGUGUUCUACAUCAAUGUGCACGCAGCAUUAGAACAAAUGCGGCAGGAGGCUGAAUUUAAAGAUUCUAAAGGACCUACAGUUAUGUUAGUAGGGCCAAUUGAUGUAGGAAAAAGUACUCUUUGUCGGCUGCUAUUGAAUUAUGCUGUACGCUUAGGAAAAACUCCUGUUUUUGUAGAUCUCGAUGUUGGACAGGGCCAAAUUUCUAUACCUGGAACAGUAGGAGCUUUAAUAGUUGAACGUCCAGCAGAUGUAGAAGAAGGGUUUUCCCAGCAAACACCACUUGUCUACCACUAUGGACACAAAGGGCCUGGUGACAAUCUUACAUUUUACAACACUGUAGUUACAAGACUAGCUGAUAGCAUCAACUCUAAAAUACAUUUAAAUAAAAAGGUAAAGUCAAGUGGAAUAAUAAUAAAUACGUGUGGCUGGGUAAAGAAUCAAGGAUAUCAAGCAAUAACUCAUGCUGCUUUUGCAUUCGAAGUUGAUGUUAUCUUGGUUGUUGAUGAAGAAAAACUGUGCUUCGAAUUACAUCGUGAUGUGCCAUCCUUUGUACAAAUUAUUGCAGUACCUAAAUCGGGUGGGACAGUAGAAAGAAGUAAAUCAGUGAGAGCCAAAACCAGAGACUCUCGAGUUCAAGAAUACUUUUAUGGUCUUCGUACCCCACUUUUUCCACAUGUGUUUGAUGUAAAGUUUUCAGAUAUCAAAAUAUACAGGGUUGAAAAUUCUCAAAAAAAAAAACUUUCAGUGAAACUCUUUCCAGUUGAGAUAGGGCCAAGUCUAUUACACCAUGUGCUUGCAGUUACUUUUUCAAAUAAUGUAGAAGAACAUCCUAUGUUGUCUAAUGUAGCAGGGUAUAUUUGUGUGACUGGAGUAAAUAUGGAAGAAGAGCUGCUGACUGUCCUUUCUCCUCAACCCCAGCCUCUUCCCAAUAGUUUAUUACUUUUCAGUGAUGUCCAAUUUAUAGACUCAACCUGAAGUGAAAUAAAGAAUUAGUUUCUUGAAAAGUUCCACUAAUCCCUCAGCUUUAGUGGAAAUAUUAAAAAAAAAGAAAUUAAAAGGCAAGAAAGUGUUAGGGAAAAAAAAGGGCAGGGGAUGAAGUGGAUAGAAGAGAGGAAGGAAGGUUUUAUAAACAUUUGAAAGAAAUCAGAAGAUGUGGAAAAAUAUUUAAGACAUUUUAAGUAAAAUAUGGAUGGAGGCAGUUGAAAAAGUGGGGAUUAAAAGAAAGGAUAAGGAAAGCCAAGGCUGGUUUGAUAUAGACUCUAAAGAGAAAAAGAGAUAAGAGCUGCCAUUGUUCUGUCUUGCAAUGAAGAACUUCCCAUUUGAAAAGAUGGAUGUAUUAGCCUAAGAAGAUUUUCUUGUUGGAAGUUCUGGAGAUAUCCCUUGACAUUUUGGCGAUGAAUAUGAUGAUGCCAAGUUAACACUAGUGAAACUUUGACAUGUUUUAACACUUCUUUGAUAUCCCAUUUCUCGCUCUUUUGUACUUUAAUUAUUACUAAGGUUUUUUUGUUUCUGUAAGUGGAUAUUAUAUAUUAAAAAAACUUAUAAAACAUCCUGUAUGAAAUUGAUUCUAAAGAUGUAAACUCUAAAUUGUAUGCUUAAAACAGUAACUUAUAUAAUACAGAAUAAUGAACUAAAGAAAACUUUCCCAUUGAUGUAUACUUUAUUUGAAAAUGAUAAUGACACUAGAAUAAAAUCUUAUUAUUUUGAAGACUGAGGUUGGAUGGAACAAAAAGGAUCACAGUUGGAGUAUACAAAAUGUAGCAUUAUAUAUAAUGUAAGAGAGUAAAGAAUUGUGUUAUAGUACAAAUUUUAUCUGGAAGACAAUGAGUCACAGGGUAAAAUAUUUAUAUACAUGGUUUGUAAACUGUUUUAUAUAUCUCAUUUUUAUAAACUAAAGUAUGGUUAGUGUUAGGCACAAGACAAAUGAUUCAUAAAGAAAAAUAUUAAUAGGGAACUUGAACUCCUGACUGUAUCUGUGUAUUUGAUAACUCUCUGCUACAGAGUUUUGAAAGUAGCAUAAAAUUUAUGUUAUGUUCAUUGCUGAUGUAGUUUUGUUAGAAUUUCACAUGGAUGUUUAUAGAUGACAUUGUAAAUUUUGCAUUAACUUGACUGUCAGAUGACUAUGAUUUUAAAUAAAUCUUUGCUAGUAUUUAUUAUAUAAUCAUGUAUUUCAUGUAAUACACAAAAUAAAACAAGUUAUUUGUUUAGUAUUGUGCACUGAAAUAAAAUCACAUUUUCCAAUAAAAUAUUUCAGUGAAACAACCAUUUUAUUAUUAGUAUCUGUAAACUGAAAAUAGUGUUCCAUUAGCACUUUUACAAUGUUGUAUUACCAAUUUUAAUAAAACUUAAACAAUUUUGAUAAAUACACGUGAGCAUUUGCUGUGUUUGGCAAUACUUAAUAAAAUUCAGUGGAUUGUUGCUUAGCAUACUGUGUACAUGUUGAAAUGAAGAAUAUUUAUCUUUAAAUUCUAUAAAUUAAAUAGUUGCAUUUCUUUCAAAAAUAAAAUGUAAUCUUUUGAAGUAGCUUUAUGUGUAAAAUUUGUGACAAACCGGUGUACAGAAUCUUGGUUUUGUUUUCUAUGGGACGUCUUAACAUUGGCACUAACCAAGUUAUGUAAAUUACUUAUGCAACAGUGAAGAUGCUUCCCUGAGUGACUGAAAUGUUGUACUCUGUAUAUGAAGCAUUCUCUGGUCUCCUCAAUAGUAAUAUUUACUGCUCAUCUUUAAACCAUUUGAACUUGAUUGAUAAACAAGUAUUUUAAGGUAAUUUUAUCUUUUACCAAUGUGGUUUUUGCAGGCUUUAAAAUUUUUUCUACAACAGAAGCAAGGCUAACUGGCAUUAUAA